rnacentral:rRNA from 1 species
AGUGGCGAACGGGUGAGUAACGCGUGGGUAACAUACCCUUUUAUCGGGGAUAACUUGCCGAAAGGUGAGCUAAUACUGGAUGUGCUGUUUUGAUCACAUGAUCGGGAUAACAAAGGUGGCCUCUAUAUAUAAGCUACCGUAAAAGGAUGGACCCGCGUCUGAUUAGCUAGUUGGUGGGGUAACGGCCUACCAAGGCGACGAUCAGUAGCCGGCCUGAGAGGGUGAACGGCCACACUGGGACUGAGACACGGCCCAGACUCCUACGGGAGGCAGCAGUGGGGAAUCUUCCGCAAUGGACGAAAGUCUGACGGAGCAACGCCGCGUGAGUGACGAAGGUUUUCGGAUUGUAAAACUCUGUCUUUUGGGACGAACGGUUCAUAUGUAAAUAAUGUAUGAAAUUGACGGUACCGAAGGAGGAAGCCCCGGCUAACUACGUGCCAGCAGCCGCGGUAAUACGUAGGGGGCAAGCGUUGUCCGGAAUUAUUGGGCGUAAAGAGCGCGCAGGCGGUUUUGUAAGUCCACCGUGAAAGCUUACGGCUCAACCGUAACGGGUCGGUGGAUACUGCAAGACUUGAGGGCAGGAGAGGAAAGUGGAAUUCCCAGUGUAGCGGUGAAAUGCGUAGAUAUUGGGAGGAACACCAGUGGCGAAGGCGACUUUCUGGACUGUUACUGACGCUGAGGCGCGAAAGCUGGGGAAGUGAACGGGAUUAGAUACCCCGGUAAUCCCAGCCGUAAACGAUGAGUACUAGGUGUAGGGGGUAUCGACCCCCCCUGUGCCGGAGUUAACGCAAUAA